rnacentral:tRNA from 1 species
GCCUCCGUGGUCUGGUGGUCAGAGUAACUGGCCACUAACCCAGAGGUCCCGGGUUCAAAUCCCGGCCGAGGUG